rnacentral:rRNA from 1 species
CAGUCGCCGCGGGAAUACGAAGGGUGCAAGCGUUAAUCGGAUUUACUGGGCGUAAAGCGUGCGUAGGCGGCUUUUUAAGUCGGAUGUGAAAUCCCUGAGCUUAACUUAGGAAUUGCAUUCGAUACUGGGAAGCUAGAGUAUGGGAGAGGAUGGUAGAAUUCCAGGUGUAGCGGUGAAAUGCGUAGAGAUCUGGAGGAAUACCGAUGGCGAAGGCAGCCAUCUGGCCUAAUACUGACGCUGAGGUACGAAAGCAUGGGGAGCAAACAGGAUUAGAUACCCCCGUAGUCCCUGUCUCUUAUAC